GAUCAUGGCUCAGGAUGAACGCUAGCUACAGGCUUAACACAUGCAAGUCGAGGGGCAGCAUGGUCUUAGCUUGCUAAGACUGAUGGCGACCGGCGCACGGGUGAGUAACACGUAUCCAACCUGCCGUCUACUCUUGGACAGCCUUCUGAAAAGGAAGAUUUAAUACAAGAUGGCAUCAUGAGUCCGCAAUGUUCACAUGAUUUAAAGGUAUUCCGGGUAGACGUAG
rnacentral:rRNA from 1 species